UACGUAGGGUGCAAGCGUUAAUCGAAAUUACUGGGCGUAAAGCGUGCGCAGGCGGUUAUGUAAGACAGAUGUGAAAUGCCCGGGCUUAACCUGGGAACUGCAUUUGUGACUGCAUGGCUAGAGUUUGGCAGAGGGGGGUAGAAUUCCACGUGUAGCAGUGAAAUGCGUAGAUAUGUGGAGGAACACCGAUGGCGAAGGCAGCCCCCUGGGCCAGCACUGACGCUCAUGCACGAAAGCGUGGGGAGCAAACAGG
rnacentral:rRNA from 1 species